UAUUAUGUACAUGCCUACAGUGUUAAUGCACCAGAUCCCAUCAAAACUCUGUAGUUAAGUGUGCUUGGUUGAGAGUAGUAAUGGGAUGGGUGACCUCCUGGUAAGUCUUAGUGUUUUACAU
rnacentral:rRNA from 1 species